rnacentral:tRNA from 1 species
GCCGAAGUGGCGGAACUGGUAGACGCGCUACGUUCAGGGCGUAGUGAGGGAAUCCUCAUGGGGGUUCGAGUCCCCCCUUCGGCA